AGAAUCAACGCUGGCGGCGUGCCUAACACAUGCAAGUCGCACGAGAAAGGGGAGCAAUCCCUGAGUACAGUGGCGCACGGGUGAGUAACACGUGAAUAAUCUACCUCCGAGUGGGGAAUAACUGAGAGAAAUCUUAGCUAAUACCGCAUAACACUUACGAGUCAAAGCAGCAAUGUGCUUGGAGAGGAGUUCGCGGCAGAUUAGUUAGUUGGCGGGGUAAUGGCCACCAAGACGAUGAUCUGUAUCCGGCCUGAGAGGGCGCACGGACACACUGGAACUGAAACACGGUCCAGACUCCUACGGGAGGCAGCAGUGGGGAAUUUUGCGCAAUGGGGGAAACCCUGACGCAGCAACGCCGCGUGGAGGAUGAAGCCCCUUGGGGUGUAAACUCCUUUCGAUCGGGAAGAUAAUGACGGUACCGAUAUAAGAAGCCCCGGCUAACUUCGCGCCAGCAGCCGC
rnacentral:rRNA from 1 species